GACCAAGCUGGAAAUCGAGUAUGAGGUGGAUUCUCUUGUCUUGGUGUAUUUCCUGAGUGGCGCUUUGACAUUCACUACCAUCCUAAUUGUUCUACUGGCUUUCUUGGUGUACAAGAUAAUCAAGAAAAACAACUGCCAAUGUACAGAGUCUCAAGCAAGA